UACGUAGGGGGCAAGCGUUGUCCGGAAUCAUUGGGCGUAAAGCGCGUGUAGGCGGCUCGGUAAGUCCGCUGUGAAAGUCCAGGGCUCAACCCUGGAAUGCCGGUGGAAACUGUCGGGCUAGAGUCCGGAAGAGGCGAGUGGAAUUCCUGGUGUAGCGGUGAAAUGCGCAGAUAUCAGGAGGAACACCAAUGGCGAAGGCAGCUCGCUGGGACGGUACUGACGCUGAGACGCGAAAGCGUGGGGAGCGAACAGG
rnacentral:rRNA from 1 species